CCUACGGGAGGCAGCAGUGGGGAAUCUUGCGCAAUGGGCGAAAGCCUGACGCAGCCAUGCCGCGUGAAUGAUGAAGGUCUUAGGAUUGUAAAAUUCUUUCACCGGGGACGAUAAUGACGGUACCCGGAGAAGAAGCCCCGGCUAACUUCGUGCCAGCAUCCGCGGUAAUACGAAGGGGGCUAGCGUUGCUCGGAAUUACUGGGCGUAAAGGGCGCGUAGGCGGACAUUUAAGUCAGGGGUGAAAUCCCAGAGCUCGACGCUGGAAAUGCCUUUGAUACUGGGUGUCUUGAGUGUGAGAGAGGGAUGUAGGACACCGAGAGUAGAGGUGAAAUUCGUGGAUAUUCGGGAGAACACCAGUGGCGAAGGCGACAUACUGGCUCAUGACUGACGCUGAGGCGCGAAACGUGGGGAGCAAACAGGAUUAGAUACCCCUGUAGUC
rnacentral:rRNA from 1 species